CGCCCAGCUAAUUUAUUUUAUUUUUAGUACAGAAGGGGUUUCAUCAUGUGGGCCAGGUUGGUCUUGAACUCCCGACCUCAAAUGUUCCACCCACCUCAGCCUCCCAAAGUUCUGGAAUUACAGGCGUGAGCCACCGCACUCACCUAACCCUUUCAACUGGGGGUCCGUCCCACGUGGGUGUGGACUCCACGGCCACAGUAGCAGAGCUGUCUCUUCUGAAAACCAGACUCCAGGACCCCUGGGUCAGCGCCACUAGGCCAGUCCUCAGACUUACACAGUUUAAAGAAAGAACCAGUGAACAUGGGGUUAUCCUGGGGUGCCAGUGGAUCCCAGAGCAGGCCCGGAGGUCUGCCUUUCUCCCCAGAAAUGAGCUGCCAUCCUCCACUGGUUUGCACUGGGCACAGGGACUGGAGGGCCUGAGGCCACUGAGCUCAGCAUGCUGUCACUUCUUGGGAAGUUGUGGGGGUGAGGAGACUAGCUGGGGCCACUCUGCAAAGGGGAGAAACGGGCACAGGCCAGAGGCACGGGCUGGUAGAGUAAGUCCUCUCCCGCAUUCAUUCAUUCACUUGUUCAUUCAUUUCGUCCAUCAGACACCUGCUGGGCAUCUGCCAUGUGCAAGGCUCUGUGCUGGGUACUCCAGACACAGGACAGAAACCCGGGUCACCCCGUGUGCCUCCGCGCUGGCCUUCCCUGAGGGGUGGGUGCAGGCUUGGUCUCCUAGGCUUUAAGCCCCAUGCAUCAGGUGGAAGACAAUUUCCAGCGGCCUCUGCCGGCUUGUUUUUUCUCCUCUCCAUUCCCUGCCGCCGUGGUCUUUUUUGUCUUUUGUGCAGGGCCGCCUCUCACAGCGCCCGUCUGUGCUCCACAGCGUCUAGGAAAGGAUUAGUGUGAGCAGAGCAUGCAGGCUUUGGUGAACAGAGCCGAGCUUGGUUUCAACAUCUAAUUCAAUUUGUUCUGCCGAGAUUGAAAUAUGAAAUGGUUGCCAGUCAAACGUUCAAAGGACGGGGAAGGGAGAGUGAGCGUCUGCUGAAAUUUAAAUUUUAAUGAAAAUGACUUUAACCCUUUGGUACACCUUGCGGAAAUGUAGCACCUCUUCCCACCCUGGGAAGGCGGCCUCUCGGCUUAGAGCUUUCCACCCACUGCUCUUCCGCUGAGCUUCACUCAUAAUAUGUCAUCGUUUUUUUCCAGCCGUCCCAAUAAUAAAAGAUUAAUAGAAUACUUGCGUAAUAAUAAUUUAUUCACCCAUGCCGCCUGGGCUGUUGAAGUAGGCACCUUGCCUACAUGACUUUCCCAGGCCCCAUCCCAGACAAGCCCAGGCCUCGUGUCAGAUGCACUCAUCACACCAGUUGUCUCCCUAGCUCCUUACAGCUGUGAAUCGUUUCUGUGUGUUUAUUUCAUGUCUGACCUUUCUCUCUCUGGACCGUAAACCCCAGGAGAGCAGGGUCAGUCCCUGUUUUGUGCAUCAUGUAGUAGAUGCUUAGUAAACACUUGGUGAAGGCAUCAGUGGCCCCAACUUUGUCCUUUUAGCAACUGUGAGAGGUAAGUUUAUGGGAGAUGCGGAAACAGAGAGGUGGGUGGCAUUCCCAAGACAGCACUGCACAGAGGGCUGCCAUCAGCCUCAUGCUCAGCUCCUUCUGGCACAAGCCCAAGCCCUUCCUCCCCAGAGCAGUGAGGGCAGUUCCCACAGGCAGGGGGCCGGGCCCCUACGCUGGGCUUCAGAGGCUCACCCCGCGCUCUCGUUCCUGCACCAGGGCCUGGGAUACUGUCUCCACUUUACAGCGGGGGCAGGCCCACUGUGUGCCAUCUCGAGCCCUGUCCUCAAGGCAGCGUGGAUGGAGGCCUCUCUCUCCUCACCCCCGAUGAGGUGCUCCUAUUCAGCUCCUUCCUGCCACAGCACCCCCAGUGUGCUUUUUGGUUUGUUUUUUAAUAUCAUCAAAUGCCAUCAGUGCCGGGCCAGUGGGCAUGCAUUGUAGCUCAUUAUGGCUGUGGACUGACAGUGCCAGGCAUUGCCCAGGCAUCAUAGGGUUCCAGGGUAAAGAGUGGGGCGAUGGGGGCAGCCCUGAGACCACCUUCAGGACUGUCAGCUUCCAAGGACUGAUACCUCAGCUUCAUCCUCUGGGACUCACACAGCCCCAGAGCCCAAGGGAGAGGUUCAGACCUAAAACACCCAGCAGAUGUGUGUUGAGCUCGUGUGUACCAGGCAUGGCCAUGAUGCUGGAGGUGCAGGAGUGGACACAGCAGAUAAGACUCCCUGGCCUCGAGCAGCUGGUGGCCAAAUGUGGGGAGACCCAGCCCCAAGUGGGCAGAGGAUUGCUUUCCUGGCACUGCUGAGGCUCUGUUCUCUCUGAGGAUGCCUGGCAGGCCCAAGGAAGGGCUCCUGAGGAGGUGGCAUGUGAGCAGAGCCAGGAGGAAGGGGACAGAUCUGUAUGCUGAAGAGAGGAAGAGAGGGCCAGCCCAAACCACAGACAAAGCCAGGGAGAAUGGACAGAGGGCUGCCAACCCCGCUCAGGCUUGGGUAUCAAGUCUGGGUCUGUGGAGGGCAGCAGAGCUGCCCCAGUCUGCCACCAUGUUGACAAUCAACAGCAGGACAAGAACCAAAACAGGGAUAGGUGUUCAGAAGCCAUUGCAGUGAGCAGGAGAGACGGGGUUGACUCAGAGCGGAGAGGUGUCCGUGGAGGGCUGAGGUGGCCCUUUCCGGUAGACAGAUUGAAGAUGCAGCCAGUGGCCUGAAGGCUUGGCUGUGGGGUAUGCACAACCAAGUCUCGUUCUCCGGCUGCAGC